UUUCCGUAGGUGAACCUGCGGAAGGAUCAUUACCGAGUUAGGGUCCUCUGGGCCCGAUCUCCAACCCAUUGUUUAAUCGACCUUUGUUGCUUUGGCAGGCCCGUCUUCGGACCGCCGGGGGUCUUCGGACCUUGGGCCUGUGCCUGCCAGUAGCCCCAAUCAAUUCUUUUUUUAACGAUGAAGUCUGAAUAUUCAAAAAUUAAAUUGAAUUAAAACUUUCAACAACGGAUCUCUUGGUUCUGGCAUCGAUGAAGAACGCAGC
rnacentral:misc_RNA from 1 species